GAGAGAGGCUCGAUAGCAACGAUGACUGCUAAUUUUCGUCACUCUGGUUAAACCCCGGAGCUCACUCG
rnacentral:tRNA from 1 species